rnacentral:rRNA from 1 species
GACGAACGCUGGCGGCGUGCUUAAUACAUGCAAGUCGAACGGAAAGGCCCUGCUUUUGUGGGGUGCUCGAGUGGCGAACGGGUGAGUAACACGUGAGUAACCUGCCCUUGACUUUGGGAUAACUUCAGGAAACUGGGGCUAAUAUCGGAUAGGAGCUCCUGCUGCAUGGUGGGGGUUGGUAAGUUUCGGCGGUUGGGGAUGGACUCGCGGCGUAUCAGCUUGUUGGUGGGGUAGUGGCUUACCAAGGCUUUGACGGGUAGCCGGCCUGAGCGGGUGACCGGCCACAUUGGGACUGAGAUACGGCGCAGACUCCUACGGGAGGCAGCAGUAGGGAAUAUUGCACAAUGGGCGGAAGCCUGAUGCAGCAACGCCGCGUGCGGGAUGACGGCCUUCGGGGUGUAAACCGCUUUCGCCUGUGACGAAGCGUGAGUGACGGUAAUGGGUAAAGAAGCAACGGCUAACUACGUG